UUUAUUUAUUUAAAAUAUUUUGAUGAAUAUUUAAAUAAUAUUAACAUAAUUCAUAUUACUAUUUUUUUUUUUUGUAUAUGAAAUUUUACUUUGAGAAAAUWAGAGUGCUUAAAGCAGGCAUAUGCCUUGAAUACUCCAGCAUGGAAUAAUAUUAAAGAUUUUUAUCUUUUUUAUUGGUUYUAAGAUAAGAAUAAUGAUUAAUAGGGACAGNUGGGGGCAUUUGUAUUUAACAGUCAGAGGUGAAAUUCUUAGAUUUGUUAAAGACAAACUAAUGCGAAAGCAUUUGCCACGGAUGUUUUCAUUAAUCAAGAACGAAAGUUAGGGGAUCGAAGACGAUCAGAUACCGU
rnacentral:rRNA from 1 species